AGUAAAAGCUCGUUUGAU
rnacentral:sRNA from 1 species